GACGGAAGGUGCAAGCGUUGCUCGGAAUCACUGGGCGUAAAGGGUGCGUAGGCGGCUUGGUGGGUCUGGUGUGAAAGCCCCGGGCUCAGCCCGGGAAGGGCGCUAGAAACUGCCGAGCUCGAGUGCCGGAGGGGAGAGUGGAAUUCCUGGUGUAGCGGUGAAAUGCGUAGAUAUCAGGAGGAACACCGGUGGCGAAGGCGGCUACCUGGACAGAAACUGACGCUGAGGCGCGAAAGCUAGGGGAGCAAACAGG
rnacentral:rRNA from 1 species